AUUGAACGCUGGCGGCAUGCCUUACACAUGCAGGUCGAACGGUAACAGGUCUUCGGAUGCUGACGAGUGGCGAACGGGUGAGUAAUACAUCGGGACGUGCCUAGUAGUGGGGGAUAACUACUCGAAAGAGUGGCUAAUACCGCAUGAGAUCUACGGAUGAAAGCAGGGGAUCGCAAGACCUUGUGCUACUAGAGCGGCCGAUGGCAGAUUAGGUAGUUGGUGGGAUAAAAGCUUACUAAGCAGACGAACUGUAGCUGGUCUGAGAGGACGAUCAGCCACACUGGGUCUGAAACACGGCCAAGACGCCAACGGGAAGCAGCCAGGGAGAAUUUUAGACAAUGAGCGAAGGCCUGAUCCAGAAAUGGCGCGUGAAGGAUGAAGGACUUCGGGUUGAAAACUGCUGUUGUGCGGAACGAAAAGCCCCGGGUUAAUACCCUGGGGUCAUGACGGUACCGUAAGAAUAAGCACCGGCUAACUACGUGCCAGCCGCCGCCGUAA
rnacentral:rRNA from 1 species